GAUGAACGCUGGCAGCGUGCCUAAUACAUGCAAGUCGAGCGAAUGGAUUAAGAGCUUGCUCUUAUGAAGUUAGCGGCGGACGGGUGAGUAACACGUGGGUAACCUGCCCAUAAGACUGGGAUAACUCCGGGAAACCGGGGCUAAUACCGGAUAACAUUUUGAACCGCAUGGUUCGAAAUUGAAUGGCGGCUUCGGCUGUCACUUAUGGAUGGACCCGCGUCGCAUUAGCUAGUUGGUGAGGUAACGGCUCACCAAGGCAACGAUGCGUAGCCGACCUGAGAGGGUGAUCGGCCACACUGGGACUGAGACACGGCCCAGACUCCUACGGGAGGCAGCAGUAGGGAAUCUUCCGCAAUGGACGAAAGUCUGACGGAGCAACGCCGCGUGAGUGAUGAAGGCUUUCGGGUCGUAAAACUCUGUUGUUAGGGAAGAACAAGUGCUAGUUGAAUAAGCUGGCACCUUGACGGUACCUAACCAGAAAGCCACGGCUAACUACGUGCCAGCAGCCGCUGUAA
rnacentral:rRNA from 1 species